UACGGAGGGUGCAAGCGUUAAUCGGAAUUACUGGGCGUAAAGCGUGCGCAGGCGGUUUUGUAAGUCUGUCGUGAAAUCCCCCGGGCUCAACCUGGGAAUUGCGAUGGAGACUGCAAGGCUAGAAUCUGGCAGAGGGGGGGUAGAAUUCCACGUGUAGCAGUGAAAUGCGUAGAGAUGUGGAGGAACACCGAUGGCGAAGGCAGCCCCCUGGGUCAAGAUUGACGCUCAUGCACGAAAGGCGUGGGGA
rnacentral:rRNA from 1 species